GAAAGGCGGUGCGCUAACCCGCAAGGGAGGCAGCCGACCCACGGUAGGGUCACGCGACUGGGGUG
rnacentral:rRNA from 1 species